AACGAACGCUGGCGGCAGGCCUAACACAUGCAAGUCGAGCGAGGACUUCGGUUCUAGCGGCGGACGGGUGAGUAACGCGUGGGAAUGUGCCCUUCUCUACGGAAUAGCCCUGGGAAACUGGGAGUAAUACCGUAUACGCCCUAUUGGGGAAAGAUUUAUCGGAGAAGGAUCAGCCCGCGUUGGAUUAGGUAGUUGGUGGGGUAAUGGCCUACCAAGCCGACGAUCCAUAGCUGGUUUGAGAGGAUGAUCAGCCACACUGGGACUGAGACACGGCCCAGACUCCUACGGGAGGCAGCAGUGGGUAAUCUUAGACAAUGGGGGCAACCCUGAUCUAGCCAUGCCGCGUGAGUGAUGAAGGCCUUAGGGUUGUAAAGCUCUUUCAGCUGGGAAGAUAAUGACGGUACCAGCAGAAGAAGCCCCGGCUAACUCCGUG
rnacentral:rRNA from 1 species